GACGAACGCUGGCGGCGUGCUUAACACAUGCAAGUCGAACGAAGUGGCGAACGGGUGAGUAACGCGUAAUCAACCUGCCCUUCAGAGGGGGACAACAGUUGGAAACGACUGCUAAUACCGCAUACUGAAGGAGGGGAUUGCGGCUGAUUAGCUAGUUGGCGGGGUAACGGCCCACCAAGGCGAUGAUCAGUAGCCGGUCUGAGAGGGUGAGCGGCGACAUUGGGCAUGGGACACGGGCCAGACUCCUACGGGAGGCAGCAGUGGGGAAUCUUCCGGAAUGGAGGAAAGUCUGAAGGAGCAACGCCGCGUGAGUGAUGACGGCCUUCGGGUUGGAAAGCUCUGUUAAUCGGGACGCGGUACCGGAAUAGAAAGCCACGGCUAACUACGUGCCAGCAGCCGCGGUAAUUC
rnacentral:rRNA from 1 species